rnacentral:rRNA from 1 species
UACGGAGGGUGCGAGCGUUGUCCGGAAUCACUGGGCGUAAAGGGCGCGUAGGCGGCCUUCUAAGUCAGACGUGAAAUCCCCCGGCUUAACCUGGGAACUGCGUCUGAUACUGGAGGGCUUGAGUGCGGGAGAGGGAUGUGGAAUUCCAGGUGUAGCGGUGAAAUGCGUAGAUAUCUGGAGGAACACCGGUGGCGAAGGCGGCAUCCUGGACCGACACUGACGCUGAGGCGCGAAAGCUAGGGUAGCAAACGGG